ACACCAAUGGCUAAGUUGGUAAAAGCACUGCAAUAUGCGUGGGUUCGAGUCCCGCUCGGUGCG
rnacentral:tRNA from 1 species